UACUGGGUUCGUCUUUAUCGGUUUAAUAAUGAAAACCCACACGCGAGACGGAUAUAGCGUUUUGGGCUUAGAUUUGGUUUGGCUUCGAUUUGGUUUAAAGAAGGGAAUCUCCAAGCUUCUCGACUCUUCUAUGAUUCAUUGCUAUAAGCUUUGUUCGACAAUGUCACCACCAUUUUCUUCAUCUAUAAAGAAAACUUUCAUCGUCUCCCUUCGUAUCUCCUCAUAUAUCUCUUAUCUUCAGCUAACGCGGCAACCAGAGAGAACGAGGCCGCGAAAGAGCUCAAGCUAGGGGUAAUCACAAGCCUAAGAAACCUAAGAACGAUGGAUUAACCCCUGAACAACGCCGCGAAAGAGAUGCGAGAGCACUGCAAGAGAAGGCUGCCAGAAAGUCAGGACAAUCAAUGGGAGAAGGGAACCAUGACCAUUUCCUUAGCGUUGGAGGUAAAAUCAAGAAUUAAGAAGCGAUACAUGUGGGUUUGAUCAUCUGAGUCGAUUUUAUUUUAUAUUGUGAUUAUUAAUUAUUGCCUGUUUGCGUCCAUGGUUAACCAGUGGUUACUGGAAAAAUUCCAUAAAUGAAAAUAUGUAAUUCUUCAUUGAAUACAUACAUGUCUUUCUCGUUGAACACAUGUGUUUUUUUCCUUGAACAUAUAUGAUUAUUUUACACUGACA